rnacentral:rRNA from 1 species
CUACGGGAGGCACCAGUUAGGAAUAAUCUACAAUGCGCGCAAGCGUGAUAGUUUGAGCCAGAGUGCUUCUCAAUGAGGAGCUUUUGCCAAAUGUAAAAAGUUUGGCGAAUAAGGACUGGGUAAGACUAGUGCCAGCCGACGCGGUAAUACUAGCGGUCCAAGUCGCAGCCACAAUUAUUGGGUCUAAAACAUCCGUAGCUUGCUUAGGAAGUUCCCUGUGAAAUCUCAUGUCUUAAGCAUGAGGCUGGCGGGGAGUACUGCUGAGCUAGAGACUGGAAGACGGAAGAAGUACGUUCGAAGUAGUGGUAAAAUACUUUAAUCUCGGACGGACUAACAACAGCGAAGGCAUCUUCCGAGGACAGUUCUGACAGUAAGGGAUGAAAGCCAGGGGCGCAAAACGGAUUAGAUACCCCAGUAGUC